rnacentral:rRNA from 1 species
GACGUAGGGCGCGAGCGUUGUCCGGAUUUAUUGGGCGUAAAGAGCUCGUAGGCGGCUUGUCGCGUCUGCCGUGAAAGUCCGGGGCUCAACUCCGGAUCUGCGGUGGGUACGGGCAGACUAGAGUGAUGUAGGGGAGACUGGAAUUCCUGGGUGUAGCGGUGAAAUGCGUAGAUAUCAGGAGGAACACCGGUGGCGAAGGCGGCCCUCUGGACGGUGACUGGCGCUGAGACGCGAAAGCGUGGGGAGCAAACAGG